UGGCCCUACGGGACGCAGCAGUGAGGAAUAUUGGUCAAUGGACGAGAGUCUGAACCAGCCAAGUAGCGUGAAGGAUGACUGCCCUAUGGGUUGUAAACUUCUUUUAUAUGGGAAUAAAGUGAGCCACGUGUGGCUUUUUGUAUGUACCAUACGAAUAAGGAUCGGCUAACUCCGUGCCAGCAGCCGCCGUAAUACGGAGGAUCCGAGCGUUAUCCGGAUUUAUUGGGUUUAAAGGGUGCGCAGGCGGACCAUCAAGUCAGCGGUAAAAUCGUGGGGCCCAACCCCAUCCCGCCGUUGAAACUGGC
rnacentral:rRNA from 1 species